rnacentral:rRNA from 1 species
AGGGAAUCUUCCGCAAUGGACGAAAGUCUGACGGAGCAACGCCGCGUGAGUGAAGAAGGUUUUCGGAUCGUAAAGCUCUGUUGUCAGGGAAGAACAAGUACGGAAGUAACUGUCCGUACCUUGACGGUACCUGACCAGAAAGCCACGGCUAACUACGUGCCAGCAGCCGCGGUAAUACGUAGGUGGCAAGCGUUGUCCGGAAUUAUUGGGCGUAAAGCGCGCGCAGGCGGCUUCUUAAGUCUGAUGUGAAAGCCCACGGCUCAACCGUGGAGGGUCAUUGGAAACUGGGAGGCUUGAGUGCAGAAGAGGAGAGCGGAAUUCCACGUGUAGCGGUGAAAUGCGUAGAGAUGUGGAGGAACACCAGUGGCGAAGGCGGCUCUCUGGUCUGUAACUGACGCUGAGGCGCGAAAGCGUGGGGAGCGAAC